CCCUUAGAUGUCCUGGGCCGCACGCGCGUUACACUGAUGCAUUCAACGAGCUUAUAACCUUGGCCGAGAGGCCUGGGCAAUCUUGUUAACGUGCAUCGUGAUAGGGAUAGAUUAUUGUAAUUAUUAAUCUUGAACGAGGAAUUCCUAGUAAACGCAGAUCAUCAAUCUGCAUUGAUUACGUCCCUGCCCUUUGUACACACCGCCCGUCGCACCUACCGAUUGGAUGGUCCGGUGAAGCCUCGGGAUUGUGGUUCUUGCCGCUUUAUUGUGGCGUGACCGCGAGAACUUGUCUAAACCUUAUCAUCUAGAGGAAGGUGAAGUCGUAACA
rnacentral:rRNA from 1 species